GUGAGUAACACGUGAGUAACCUGCCCCUGACUUCGGGAUAAGCCCGGGAAACUGGGUCUAAUACCGGAUACGACUGCCGGACGCAUGUCUGGUGGUGGAAAGUUUUUUCGGUUGGGGAUGGGCUCGCGGCCUAUCAGUUUGUUGGUGAGGUAAUGGCUCACCAAGACGACGACGGGUAGCCGGCCUGAGAGGGCGACCGGCCACACUGGGACUGAGACACGGCCCAGACUCCUACGGGAGGCAGCAGUGGGGAAUAUUGCACAAUGGGGGAAACCCUGAUGCAGCGACGCAGCGUGCGGGAUGACGGCCUUCGGGUUGUAAACCGCUUUCAGCAGGGAAGAAGCGCAAGUGACGGUACCUGCAGAAGAAGUACCGGCUAACUACGUGCCAGCAGCCGCGGUAAUACGUAGGGUACGAGCGUUGUCCGGAAUUAUUGGGCGUAAAGAGCUCGUAGGUGGUUGGUCACGUCUGCUGUGGAAACGCAACGCUUAACGUUGCGCGUGCAGUGGGUACGGGCUGACUAGAGUGCAGUAGGGGAGUCUGGAAUUCCUGGUGUAGCGGUGAAAUGCGCAGAUAUCAGGAGGAACACCGGUGGCGAAGGCGGGACUCUGGGCUGUAACUGACACUGAGGAGCGAAAGCAUGGGGAGCGAACAGGAUUAGAUACCCUGGUAGUCCAUGCCGUAAACGUUGGGCACUAGGU
rnacentral:rRNA from 1 species